UAUCAAGCGCGCGAUUUACAUGGCGUACCUUGCUUGUACAUACAGGCUACAUUGAAAUCCUGUGAUCAAGGUACUAGUAAAACAGGUUAACGCCAAAACAUUUUGGCGCUGCUACUCGUCACAGAAUCAGCUGGCCUUUCUGGACCAGCCGAACGAUUUCGUGCCGAGGCGGAGGAAGACACGCAGCACUUGUCUGUAGCUGCAAAAGACGCUGUUCUACCGCGCCGUGACAUUGUUAUGGUCCUCGCGUGACCCGCACAUGCAUUGAAGCUCACGGCAUCUGCAUUUCGUUUACAAUUAUGACGGACAAAGACUUGACAACGUUGAUCUCCCACCUAGGGCGCCUGUCAUCGGAGCAGCUACAGUGCCUGGAAUACGAAAACGCGUUUUCGUCCCUCCGGCUCAGAGGCUGCACGAUACGCCAAGGCAUGUGUAAGGUACGCGAAGCUCUCGAAGCCAUCACAUCACGGCAGAAACGGCUUCAAGGCGUGGCUUGGUUUUACUGCUGGCUCAUACCGCGAAACGCAAUUCCGUCGUGGACACUGUACAGAUUGGAAGAACCCGCGGCAAACGCCCCGAAGUUCACGCUGCACAGGCUGUUAGCGGACCGGAUGAGCUUCCCCGGUUCACAGCUGAUUUUAAUGCGCAAGGAGAGCUUGAGUGCCUGCUACGGCUGCAUCAUUCUUAAAGAUCUGUUGAAGUGGCCGCAGCAAAACCAGGUUUUAUGUUUGUACGUGUGGAAUGCGGUGCCCUAUAUGGCUAUACACACCAAUUCUGUUUUGCCCCUCAUUUCACUCAAAAUGAUUCUCGGACGCAAUCCCGAAGAACUUCUGGUCGGUUCUUACGAUGACAUCUGCACAGCGUAUACUGCGGCCUGCCAACACUUCCUCAGUCAACGCACCAAUCGACCGCCGUAGGUGUGAUGCGCUCACGACUUGCUUUGUGGACGUCCGAGCAAAUGGAAUUGCCGAUCGCCUACCAACGAGGUAUCAAGGCGCACUGGAGAUACGGCUGACAAGGAAGGCUAAUCUUGCGCAAGUAUACCGGGACAAUUUCGGUUGCGAGAUUCUCCGAUGUGAAACGGUGCCUGGAGACGACACUGGAAGAGCUACCCUUUGGAAACGUCCCCUGAUGGGAAAGAGGUUUCUUCUAACGCCUCGUUUUAUGUUAGCCCGACUGACCUACCAUAACGUGCCGGACGUUUAGUGCGAAGUCCGUAUAGGCCCCAUUACGCGAAAAUCCGGUUUUGUCGACGGGGGCGGCGUGACCGAAAAAUGGUACUAAUAAUGGCCGACGCUACGAUAAGUAAAAACACGUCGAAAAUGUUCGGACUGAUGUCAAAUUUGUGAGGCUGGUUUUUAUAAACAAAGUCAAUUGAUGGAAUAGGAAAUGAAAAUUCGGUACAUGGCGGCUUGGGUGUGAAUCUGUCCCGGGCCUCCGGCGUACUAGA